CCAAUAGCGUAUAUUAAGGUUGUUGCAGUUAAAAAGCUCGUAGUUGAACUUCGGGGUUUACCCAUUGGUCAGGCUUAAUUGUCUGCACUGGUGAGAUGAAUCUCUACCUUCUGAGGAACUUUCAUGCCACUUAUUUGGUGUGAUGGGAAAUCAGGACUGUUACUUUGAAAAAAUUAGAGUGUUUAAAGCAGGCUAACGUCUGAAUACAUUAGCAUCGAAUAAUGAAAUAGGACGGACUGAUUCUAUUUCGUUGGUUUCUAGGAUCACCGUAAUGAUUAAUAGGGAUAGUUGGGGGCAUUAGUAUUCAAUUGUCAGAGGUGAAAUUCUUGGAUUUAUUGAAGACUAACUACUGCGAAAGCAUUUGCCAAGGAUGUUUUCAUUAAUCAAGAACGAAAGUUAGGGGAUCGAAGACGAUCAGAUACCGUCGUAGUCUUAACCAUAAACUAUGCCGACUAGGGAUCGGACGAAGUUAAUUUUAUAAUGACGCGUUCGGCACCUUACG
rnacentral:rRNA from 1 species